GACGAACGCUGGCGGCGUGCUUAACACAUGCAAGUCGAACGAUGAAGCCCAGCUUGCUGGGUGGAUUAGUGGCGAACGGGUGAGUAACACGUGAGUAACCUGCCCUGGACUCUGGGAUAACCCCGAGAAAUCGGAGCUAAUACCGGAUAGGACCUUUCCCCGCAUGGGGUUUGGUGGAAAGUUUUUCGGUUUGGGAUGGACUCGCGGCCUAUCAGCUUGUUGGUGAGGUAAUGGCUCACCAAGGCGUCGACGGGUAGCCGGCCUGAGAGGGUGACCGGCCACACUGGGACUGAGACACGCCCCAGACUCCUACGGGAGGCAGCAGUGGGGAAUAUUGCACAAUGGGCGCAAGCCUGAUGCAGCAACGCCGCGUGCGGGAUGACGGCUUUCGGGUUGUAAACCGCUUGUAGUAAGGAAGAAGGUUCUUCGGCCUUGACGGUACUUGCAGAAAAAGGACCGGCUAACUACGUGCCAGCCGCCGCGGUAAAAC
rnacentral:rRNA from 1 species